UUAAAUAGUCGCUGGUAAAUUUCGAAAGGAAUUACGAGAGGAAAGUCCGGGCUCCAUAGAGCAAAGAUGCUAGAUAACGUCUAGUGAGGGAGACCUUAAGGAAAGUGCAACAGAAAAUAACCGCCUCUAGUUAUAGGUCGAUGAAAUGAAAAUUUAUUUGACAAAAAUAAAUGUUGACGAUGUCACUUUUGUUUUUAUAUAGAGGUAAGGAUGAAAAGGCGAGGUAAGAGCUCACCGCUGGCAUGGUGACAUGCUGGGUCAGUGUAAACCCCAUUUGGAGCAACACCUAAGUAGAAGAUUAAGCCUGCUCGGCGCCUUCUGAAUUGCGUGGCUUGAGGCAUAUAGUGAUAUGUGUCCUAGAUAAAUGACUAUUUUAAAUGACAGAACCCGGCUUACAGAUUUACUUA
rnacentral:RNase_P_RNA from 1 species